rnacentral:rRNA from 1 species
GACGAACGCUGGCGGCGUGCCUAAUACAUGCAAGUCGAACGCACAGUUUAUACCGUAGCUUGCUACACCAUAGACUGUGAGUUGCGAACGGGUGAGUAACGCGUAGGUAACCUGCCUGGUAGCGGGGGAUAACUAUUGGAAACGAUAGCUAAUACCGCAUAAUAUUGAUUAUUGCAUGAUAAUUAAUUGAAAGGUGCAAUUGCACCACUACCAGAUGGACCUGCGUUGUAUUAGCUAGGAGGUGAGGUAACGGCUCAACUAGGCGACGAUACAUAGCCGACCUGGGAGGGAGGUCCGCCACACUGGGACUGAGACACGGCCCAGACUCCUUCGGGAGGCAGCCGGAGGGGAUCUUCGGCAAAGGACGGAAGUCUGACCGAGCAACGCCGCGGGAGUGAAGAAGGGUUUCGGAUCGUAAAGGUCUGUUGUAAGAGAAGAAAGGGUGUGAGAGUGGAAAGUUCACACUGUGACGGUAUCUAACCAGAAAGGGACGGCUAACUACGGG